rnacentral:rRNA from 1 species
UACGUAGGGUGCGAGCGUUAAUCGGAAUUACUGGGCGUAAAGCGUACGCAGGCGGCGCAUUAAGACAGGUGUGAAAUCCCGGGGCUCAACCUCGGAAUUGCAUUCAAUACUGCUUCGCUCGAGUACUGGAGAGGAGGCUGGAAUUUACGGUGUAGCAGUGAAAUGCGUAGAUAUCGGAAAGAACACCAGUGGCGAAGGCGGCCUCCUGGACUAAUACUGACACUGAGGUGCGAAAGCGUGGGGGAGCAAACAGG